UACAGAGGGGGCAAGCGUUGUUCGGAAUUACUGGGCGUAAAGGGCGCGUAGGCGGCCUGUUAAGUCGAACGUGAAAUCCCCGGGCUCAACCCGGGAACUGCGUCCGAUACUGGCAGGCUUGAAUCCGGGAGAGGGAUGCGGAAUUCCAGGUGUAGCGGUGAAAUGCGUAGAUAUCUGGAGGAACACCGGUGGCGAAGGCGGCAUCCUGGACCGGCAUUGACGCGUGAGGCGCCGAAAGCCAGGGGAGCAA
rnacentral:rRNA from 1 species